rnacentral:rRNA from 1 species
AGAGUUUGAUCCUGGCUCAGGAUGAACGCUGGCGGCGUGCCUAUACACAUGCAAGUCGAACGGUCCCUUCGGGGAUAGUGGCGGACGGGUGAGUAACGCGUGAGGAUCUGGCUACAGGACGGGGACAACGAAUGGAAACGUUCGCUAAUACCCGAUGUGCCGAGAGGUGAAAGAUUUAUUGCCUGUAGAUGAACUCGCGUCGGAUUAGCUAGUUGGUGGGGUAAGGGCCUACCAAGGCGACGAUCCGUAGCUGGUCUAAGAGGAUGAUCAGCCACACUGGGACUGAGACACGGCCCAGACUCCUACGGGAGGCAGCAGUGGGGAAUUUUCCGCAAUGGGGGGAACCCUGACGGAGCAACGCCGCGUGCGGGAGGAAGGCCUUCGGGUUGUAAACCAGCUUUUCUCUGGGAAGAAGAACUGAC